AGUGUGUGGACCAACAUGGGAUUUCAUGUGCUAUAUCGAAAAUUUUUGCAUUGCCAAUAUCCUGAAAUUAGCCAUGGUAUUUAUGCUAUCUUACAUUGUUCUGUUGUUCUUCUAUCUGGUGCAUAAAUUGGGCAUAUGUGGAUG